AAAACAUUUUAACCCAGUAGGAAAUAGUUUUCUUGUUCAGAAAGUCGGUGGUUGCUGCGAACCGAUCAGGACUAUUUGUUGAAUUACACUAAAAUGAGCGGAUAAAAAUAAUAAAUGAAAUGAUAAAGAAAAACACUCGCUGUUUUAAAAAUAAGGUGGUACCGUGGAGAAAUUCGCCCUUAGC
rnacentral:misc_RNA from 1 species